GCAGCAGCAGCAGCAACAGCAACAUUUUGCGAAGCAAACAUUGCAGCAAGCACAGUUACUCUUCCCUUACAUGCAGCAAGUUUCCCAUUCAAGUAGCACUGCAACUGUUUCACCUUCAAGUGGUUAUUAUCUUCCAAGGCGACGUCCUGAACAGCAAUCACAAUCGCAGGGCUCAGGUGGAACAUCCUCCAAUGGAAUGGUAUCCCUAUGCCACCCUGUUACACUUGGAGGCAGCAGCACUACCGAUCCUUCAAAAGCUGUUGCUGCUGCUGCUGCCGUGGCUAACAAUAUGAAAG
rnacentral:misc_RNA from 1 species